rnacentral:lncRNA from 1 species
CUAGAAGUCUUCUAUGAAUCUUAAAAUGAAGGUGACAGAUGACUUUACAAUUGAACUAUUUUAUUUCUUUACCUACUUAUUUACUCAAUUAUUUAAUAACUGCUUCCUCCCAUUUAGUAUAAGUGAUAUUUGCACCAGGUUGAGUUGCUGGUUGGUCUAUGCUGGAGGUACCUCUGGGAGCACCAAGACACUACUAACCAAUCACAUUGAGAGCAACUGGAACCUCUCUCCAGGCAUGAGAAAACACUAAGAAAGGUCCCAGGAGGCCCAUGCUGGGCUUCAGUGUCUGCCUUGACUAGCUGAUGCUUCACGGAACUUUACCACUCUCCAAGCCACAUCUAAGAAGAGCCUUCUACACACCAAGCUUACUGAACGAGUGAGCUCCUGGGAGACGAAGACCUUUAGGAUCAUGAACUACAACCUGGAUAUUUUGUUUAUUAGAAAAGACACCAGAUAAAAGACUCUUUGCAGCCCUGAUGGAAAG